UACGUAGGGGGCAAGCGUUGUCCGGAAUCAUUGGGCGUAAAGCGCGUGUAGGCGGUCCGGUAAGUCGGUUGUGAAAGUCCGGGGCUCAACCCUGGGAUGCCGACCGAUACUGUCGGACUAGAGUUCGGAAGAGGCGAGUGGAAUUCCCGGUGUAGCGGUGAAAUGCGCAGAUAUCGGGAGGAACACCAAUGGCGAAGGCAGCUCGCUGGGACGUUACUGACGCUGAGGCACGAAAGCGUGGGGAGCAAACAGG
rnacentral:rRNA from 1 species